rnacentral:lncRNA from 1 species
AUGUACAUAUUCAAUUUUUACAUAAUUACAUAUUGAUUUUUUAGGUCGAAGUAAAACAUAACAAAAUUGGUGAAUUGAAAUGAUACAAAGUAUUGUGUACAUUAUAGAGGCAUCCAAGGCCAAAACUUACAGACCUUGUCAACCGACAUAAUCAUUGUUUAAUUAAAUAUCAACUGCAAUAAAACAUGAUUUGUUCUUUUCGUUUUCCAAAUUCAACCAGGACAGCUAGAAGCUAAACGUCUAAAAGAUGAAAUGUGACUUAAAGUCUAUCAUUUUCUUCAUAAUAAAUUUUAAAAAAAACAUGUCAUUUGGACUCUGUAGGAAAGUGUUAUCAUUGCCAAUGAUUAAACGGAAUCAAAUCAAUAAUGAUCACAUUUUAUUUUUUAUUUUUGAGACGACCCUUCACAUUUUACCUGUCGUAGUCGUUCUCAACUGUAGGUGUCGAGAGAUGUUGAAAAGGUCUAUUAGCAAGAUUUUGACCACACCAACUACCAAAGAUCACAAUAUUAUAGAAUACAAUUUAGACCGAAGACAUUUAUGUUUUUCUUUUAAAUAUUGAUCAAGUCAUUAUGUUAUUAUAUAAACUGUAAGAUCUAUU